rnacentral:piRNA from 1 species
CUUGUUGUUACCAUUGUUGGAACCCAAGGU